rnacentral:lncRNA from 1 species
CACAAACACUGAAUUUUAAUUUUAUCCCCACAAUUUAUUUUUUAUAUAACCAUUAUUAUGCACUAAGCAUUAUAAUCCUAGUUUUCCCAUCUCAAAAUUCAAGGUCUGUUAUCUAUCAUGGAAGAUGAUUUUAAUGAUUAAGGAUGAUCAUUGAUUUAUUCAUUCAGUCACUCAUGCAUCAUCCAUUCAAUAAAUAUGAUCUGAGGGUUUACUAAAUACUGAGUAUUCUGUCAAUCAUUGUAAAUGAUAGAGGUGACAGUGCUUUCAUUCCUAUUCACAGGGAGUGCACAAUCUACUGGGAGGGAGUUAAGUGCAUAAUUAACUGUGUGAUGAUUGCUGAUAGGAUUACGUGCAGAAGCUGCAGGAACAUUAAGGAGUGAAGGGGAGGCUGGACAUCUAACAUUGGUUGUGUUGAGUUGUGGAAAGUGCAUAAAGGAAUCAAGAUACUUUGUUUUCUGAGGAAGGGAAAACUAAUCAUUGACUUGAUGAAUAAAUAAGAGUGAGCCAAAUGUGGCGGGUCUGGGGCAGUGGGGGAAGACUGGUGUACUAUUUCUGCAGAUACACACCUUGGACAAAGUUUGAAAUGCUAAUAAGUGCUCAGUAUUUUGAAUAUCUUUGAUUCUAAAUAAAACAACCAAAAAUUCCAAUUUGACCUUAAAACAUGCCUUUGGUUGUAUGUAACCAAAGCUAUUACUUUUCAGUGUUUAACACUGACUCUUCACAGCUUCCCAGACACAGAGAAUAUCCUUUGAAGUGCACAGAAGAUUAGAUCCUGUGGGGACAGGACUUUCUGAACAUUGCGAGAUUAAUUUACACCGCUACAAAAUAAAAUUAGCCUGCUGCUAAUCAAAGUUCCAAUUCCUGUUUUCCAGGGCAUUUCACAGGAGGAUUUUCCCUAUGGAAAAAAAAGUAAAAGAUAAUAGGAAAAUCACUCCUUUGCGACUUUGGGAUGAAACAAACAACGGAGUUGUUCUCUGGUGGGAAGGUUAGCAGGCUGUCAUUGAUGCAACUCCACAGAGGGAAAGAAGGUCUACUGUAUAUGCACGUGCAACAAAACAGUAGAAAUCUCAGUUUAUGACAACUGGAGCACCUGAUUAAAACGUCUGGAAGAGGCAGCUUCCGUGGGAGUGAGGUGAGCACUGCAGAGUCACAUCUUUGUGCUUUCAGUUUUCCUAUCUCUGUCAAUACUUUGCUCUGCACUUGUGUUUCCCACUAUGUCUUUACUGAUGAUAACUUCAUUGUCAUGAUGAUGCCACAGGUCACAGAUACCCCCUUCCCAUCCUCCCACCAGCAAGAGGUGCUUUGUGUGUUUCUAAAUAUACCGGCAUCCUAACCCCAGAAUCCCACUUUGAUUAAGAUGCUGGCAUAUUUAGAAACACACAAAUAGCCUCUUCUUGGUGGGAGGAUGGAAAGGGGCUAUCUGUGACUUAUAGUAUCAUCAUGAUUUUGAGGAUUUCUUUGCU